UACGUAGGGGGCAAGCGUUGUCCGGAAUCAUUGGGCGUAAAGAGCGUGUAGGCGGCCCGGUAAGUCCGCUGUGAAAGUCCAGGGCUCAACCCUGGGAUGCCGGUGGAUACUGUCGGGCUCGAGUCCGGAAGAGGAGUGUGGAAUUCCUGGUGUAGCGGUGAAAUGCGCAGAUAUCAGGAAGAACACCCGUGGCGAAGGCGGCUCUCUAGGACGGUACUGACGCUGAGACGCGAAAGCGUGGGGAGCGAACAGG
rnacentral:rRNA from 1 species